GACGUAGGGUGCGAGCGUUGUCCGGAUUUAUUGGGCGUAAAGAGCUCGUAGGCGGCUCGUCGCGUCGACCGUGAAAACCCACAGCUUAACUGUGGGCUUGCGGUUGAUACGGGCGGGCUAGAGUUCGGUAGGGGAGACUGGAAUUCCUGGUGUAGCGGUGAAAUGCGCAGAUAUCAGGAAGAACACCGAUGGCGAAGGCAGCUCUCUGGGACGGUACUGACGCUGAGACGCGAAAGCGUGGGGAGCGAACAGG
rnacentral:rRNA from 1 species